rnacentral:rRNA from 1 species
GACGAACGCUGGCGGCAUGCUUAACACAUGCAAGUCGAACGGAAAGGCCCUGCUUUCGUGGGGUGCUCGAGUGGCGAACGGGUGAGUAACACGUGAGUAACCUGCCCUUGACUUUGGGAUAACUUCAGGAAACUGGGGCUAAUACCGGAUAGGAGCUCCUGCUGCAUGGUGGGGGUUGGAAAGUUUCGGCGGUUGGGGAUGGACUCGCGGCUUAUCAGCUUGUUGGUGGGGUAGUGGCUUACCAAGGCUUUGACGGGUAGCCGGCCUGAGAGGGUGACCGGCCACAUUGGGACUGAGAUACGGCCCAGACUCCUACGGGAGGCAGCAGUGGGGAAUAUUGCACAAUGGGCGGAAGCCUGAUGCAGCAACGCCGCGUGCGGGAUGACGGCCUUCGGGUUGUAAACCGCUUUCGCCUGUGACGAAGCGUGAGUGACGGUAAUGGGUAAAGAAGCACCGGCUAACUACGUG